rnacentral:rRNA from 1 species
CGCGAAGAACCUUACUAGGUCUUGACAUCCUUUGACCACUCUAGAGAUAGAGCUUCCCCUUCGGGGGCAAAGUGACAGGUGGUGCAUGGUUGUCGUCAGCUCGUGUCGUGAGAUGUUGGGUUAAGUCCCGCAACGAGCGCAACCCUUAUUGUUAGUUACCAUCAUUCAGUUGGGCACUCUAGCAAGACUGCCGGUGACAAACCGGAGGAAGGUGGGGAUGACGUCAAAUCAUCAUGCCCCUUAUGACCUGGGCUACACACGUGCUACAAUGGGAAGUACAACGAGUUGCGAAGUCGCGAGGCUAAGCUAAUCUCUUAAAGCUUCUCUCAGUUCGGAUUGCAGGCUGCAACUCGCCUGCAUGAAGCCGGAAUCGCUAGUAAUCGCGGAUCAGCACGCCGCGGUGAAUACGUUCCCGGGUCUUGUACACACC